GAUGAACGCUGGCGGCGUGCUUAACACAUGCAAGUCGAACGAUGAAGGAGAGCUUGCUCUCCGGAUUAGUGGCGAACGGGUGAGUAACACGUGACUAACCUGCCCCUUUCUCUGGGAUAACGCUCCGAAAGGAGUGCUAAUACCGGAUACGAACUCUGAACACAUGUUCGGAGUUGGAAAGUUUUUCGGAAAGGGAUGGAGUCGCGGCCUAUCAGCUUGUUGGUGAGGUAAUGGCUCACCAAGGCGACGACGGGUAGCCGGCCUGAGAGGGCGACCGGCCACACUGGGACUGAGACACGGCCCAGACUCCUACGGGAGGCAGCAGUGGGGAAUAUUGCACAAUGGGCGAAAGCCUGAUGCAGCGAUGCCGCGUGAGGGAUGAAGGUCUUCGGAUUGUAAACCUCUUUCAGUAGGGACGAAGCGAAAGUGACGGUACCUAAAGAAGAAGCACCGGCUAACUACGUGCCAGCCGCCGCCGUAA
rnacentral:rRNA from 1 species